UACGGGAGGCAGCAGUGGGGAAUAUUGCACAAUGGGCGAAAGCCUGAUGCAGCUAUGCCGCGUGUAUGAAGAAGGCCUUAGGGUUGUAAAGUACUUUCAGCAGGGAGGAAAGAAUAAAACUAAUAAUUUUAUUUUGUGACGUUACCUGAAGAAGAAGCACCGGCUAACUCCGUGCCAGCAGCCGCGGUAAUACGGAGGGUGCAAGCGUUAAUCAGAAUUACUGGGCGUAAAGAGCGCGUAGGUGGUUUUUUUAAAGUCAGAUGUGAAAUCCCUAGGCUUAACCUGGAACUGCAUUUUGAAACUGAAAACUAGAGUAUCGUAGAGGGAGGUAGAAUUCUAGGUGUAGCGGUGAAAUGCGUAGAUAUCUGGAGGAAUACCUGUGGCGAAAGCGGCCUCCUAAACGAAUACUGACACUGAGGUGCGAAAGCGUGGGGAGCAAACAGGGAUUAGAUACC
rnacentral:rRNA from 1 species